rnacentral:rRNA from 1 species
UUAAAUUGAAGAGUUUGAUCAUGGCUCAGAUUGAACGCUGGCGGCAGGCCUAACACAUGCAAGUCGAACGGUAACAGGAAACAGCUUGCUGUUUCGCUGACGAGUGGCGGACGGGUGAGUAAUGUCUGGGAAACUGCCUGAUGGAGGGGGAUAACUACUGGAAACGGUAGCUAAUACCGCAUAACGUCGCAAGACCAAAGAGGGGG